AGCGAACGCUGGCGGCAGGCCUAACACAUGCAAGUCGAGCGCCCCGCAAGGGGAGCAGCAGACGGGAGAGUAACACGUGGGAACGUACCCUUCAGUUCGGAACAACCCAGGGAAACUUGGGCUAAUACCGAAUACGUCCGUAAGGGGAAAGAUUUAUCGCUGAAGGAUCGGCCCGCGUCUGAUUAGCUAGUUGGUGAGGUAACGGCUCACCAAGGCGACGAUCAGUAGCUGGUCUGAGAGGAUGAUCAGCCUCACUGGGACUGAGACACGGCCCAGACUCCUACGGGAGGCAGCAGUGGGGAAUAUUGGACAAUGGGCGCAAGCCUGAUCCAGCCAUGCCGCGUGGAUGAUGAAGGCCCUAGGGUUGUAAAGUCCUUUUAACGGGGAAGAUAAUGACGGUACCCGUAGAAUAAGCCCCGGCUAACUUCGUGCCAGCCGCCGCAGUAA
rnacentral:rRNA from 1 species